rnacentral:rRNA from 1 species
UACGUAGGGGGCAAGCGUUGUCCGGAUUUAUUGGGCGUAAAGCGCGCGCAGGCGGUCCUUUAAGUCCGCUGUGAAAGUCAAAGGCUCAACCUUUGAAAGCCGGUGGAUACUGGAUGGCUAGAGUACGGAAGAGGCGAGUGGAAUUCCUGGUGUAGCGGUGGAAUGCGCAGAUAUCAGGAGGAACACCAAUAGCGAAGGCAGCUCGCUGGGACGUUACUGACACUGAGGCGCGAAAGCGUGGGGAGCGAACAGG